AACGAACGCUGGCGGCAGGCUUAACACAUGCAAGUCGAGCGAGACCUUCGGGUCUAGCGGCGGACGGGGGAGUAACGCGUGGGAACGUGCCCUUCUCUACGGCAUAGCCCCGGGAAACUGGGAGUAAUACCGUAUACGCCCUUUGGGGGAAAGAUUUAUCGGAGUAGGUUCGGCCCUCGUUGGAUUAGGUAGUUGGUGGGGUAAUGGCCCACCAAGCCGACGAUCCAUAGCUGGUUUGAGAGGAUGAUCAGCCACACUUGGACUUGGACACGGCCCAGACUCCUACGGGAGGCAGCAGUGGGGAAUCGUAGACAACGGCGGCAACCCUGAUCUAGCCAUGCCGGGUGAGUGAUGAAGGCCUUAGAGUUGUAAAGCUCUUGCAGCUGGGAAGAUAAUGACGGUACCAGCAGAAGAAGCCCCGGCUAACUCCGUG
rnacentral:rRNA from 1 species